AGCACUAAGUCACUUUGUCUUUAUGGCAAAUGUGAGAUGCAGUGUAUGGAAUGUCAAAUUUCUAGUAUGAGAAAUUAACGAUUUAAGUCCUUCUUAAAUGAGGCCAUUUACCCAAAGAGGGUGCCAGGCCCGUAUAACGUUAAUGAUUACUAGAUGGCAUUUCCAAAGAGUCGUGUUGCUUGAUAGUGCAGCACUAAGUGGGUGGUAAACUCCAUCUAAAACUAAAUAUAACCAUGAGACCGAUAGUAAACAAGUACCGUGAGGGAAAGUUGAAAAGAACUCUGAAUAGAGAGUUAAAUAGUACGUGAAACUGCUUAGAGGUUAAGCCCGAUGAACCUGAAUAUCCGUUAUGGAAAAUUCAUCAUUAUGAUUUUAAUAUUUAUAAUAUUAUAAUAAUGGUGUGCAUUUUUUCUAUAAAGGACAUUGUAAUCUAUUAACAUAAAUUAAUUUAUCAUAAGAUCAUUUGCGUAAGUUUAUUCAAAUUAUUUUGCUUGCAUUUUAAUAUCGAAUAAAUGCUUUUGAUUUGAUAAAGUGUUGAUAGAUUUAUUAUAUACAGUGCUUAAAUAUUUAUAUUUUAUAAUAGCAUAUUAAUCAAUGAUUUUUAUGUUCAUUAUAUGCACUUGUAUGAUUAACAAUGCGAAAGAUUCAGGAUACCUUCGGGACCCGUCUUGAAACACGGACCAAGGAGUCUAACAUAUUUGCAAGUUAUUGGGAAUAAAAACCUAAUAGCGAAAUUAACAUAACUUAUUUAAUGGGAUUAGUUUUUAGCCUAUUUAUAGUCUAUUAAUUCAAUCCCGGGGCGUUCUAUACAGUUAUGUAUAAUAAUAUUUAUAUUAUUUAUACCUCUAACUAGAGCGUACCUUGAGCAUAUAUGCUGUGACCCGAAAGAUGGUGAACUAUACUUGAUCAGGUUGAAGUCAGGGGAAACCCUGA
rnacentral:rRNA from 1 species